rnacentral:rRNA from 1 species
CGAGAUUUACUCGGUAAUGACGCUGGGGACGCGAGCGGCGGAUGGGUGAGUAACACGUGGGGAAACCUGCCCCAUAGCCUGGGAUACCACUUGGAAACAGGUGCUAAUACCGGAUAAGAAAGCAGAUCGCAUGAUCAGCUUAUAAAAGGCGGCGUAAGCUGUCGCUAUGGGAUGGCCCCGCGGUGCAUUAGCUAGUUGGUAAGUAACGGCUUACCAAGGCAAUGAUGCAUAGCCGAGUUGAGAGACUGAUCGGCCACAUUGGGACUGAGACACGGCCCAAACUCCUACGGGAGGCAGCAGUAGGGAAUCUUCCACAAUGGACGCAAGUCUGAUGGAGCAACGCCGCGUGAGUGAAGAAGGUUUUCGGAUCGUAAAGCUCUGUUGUUGGUGAAGAAGGAUAGAGGUAGUAACUGGCCUUUAUUUGACGGUAAUCAACCAGAAAGUCACGGCUAACUACGUGCCAGCAGCCGCGGUAAUACGUAGGUGGCAAGCGUUGUCCGGAUUUAUUGGGCGUAAAGCGAGCGCAGGC